rnacentral:ncRNA from 1 species
UAUUAAGGUAUCUCGAUGCCUCGUCAUCUAGUUAGUGAUGUGAAUGAAUGGAUUAACGAGAUUCCCACUAUCCCAAGCUACUAUCUAGAGAAACCACAACCAAGGUAAUGAUCUUGGAAAAAUUAGUGGGGAAAGAAGACCUUGUUGAGCUUGACUAUAGUCCGACUUUGUGAAAUGAAUUGACAGGUGUAGAAUAAGUGGGAUUCAUUUUCAGCGCAAGUGAAAUACCACUACUUUUAAUGUUAUUUUAAUUAGUUUGUGGGGUAGAGAUGAGGCAUUUCACAUAUGUUAAAAUAUAGCUCACAUUUCCUCAAAGUGUUACCAUUGACGGUAAUGGUCAAGAGCUCAUUAUUCAUGCACUUGAUGGCAAUGAGUUUAGGAAACAAGAACACAUUGAAAAACUUUCAAUGUUGGCACAUGGUAUAUGAUUGAUAUGCAUGAUUUAUUCCCCCCACUUGACCAU